rnacentral:misc_RNA from 1 species
GUUUUAUAUUUGUGAUAUAAAUAGGUACAGUCAAAAGAAAACAGUCUGUUGUAGUGGGAUGUCCCUUGCUAAUUCUACCGAACUAACAAGGGGCAAGCGCACAGGUGUGUGUGACCAAGGUUACCACAUAUUUCAGUGGUUUCCAAGGCACGAAUAAAGCCCAGCAAGCUGGAGCAUUCAAUAAUGAUCCUUCCGCAGGUUCACCUACGGAAA